rnacentral:lncRNA from 1 species
UUUCCUCUUAGACCUGCUUUCAAUGUGUCCCAUAGAUUCCGAUAAAACAUGGAUGUUGUAAUGUCGAUUUGGCCUGAUCCUUUUGGGAGCUCUGGGGCAUGAAUUGUACUGCAGAUUUGAUCCCUCUCACCUUCAGGUAAGGGGGUGAAAUACUGACAUAUUGUGCAAAAACAAAGUACUGAAGUCAUUGGCAGUGGUUUUUCCUGGAAUAGAGGUAUAUGCUAUUGGGCAAUGGUGACUUCUAGUAGCAGAGGUCAAUUUUGUGGGGAAAGACCACCUUUGAACCAAGAGUAGUCAACACUCACAGCAUCUGGGUAUUGUUUACAAGAGCCUGGGACAGGGGAUUUAGGCUGAACAUUAACAAUGUCUGCUGUUAACAUGGAAAUUUGCUGGAACAUUGGUGGCAUUCACUUACUGAGAGACUUUUCUAAUUUCUGUAUUCUAUUUUUCUUUUACUUUCAUCAUUCAUUAAAUAGGGUAUCUGUGGAUGGUCUUAUCAAUCUUGAAGAAUUGAAAUAAUUUAACUCAAAGGAUUUGUUAAUAGGAAAGAUCUAAAUAAAUAUAAGGAAUUAUUACUUAAAACUAAGUCAGACUAUUUUUAAGCAUAGUGUUUUAGUUAGCUUUUUUCCACUGUGACCCAAGGACUCAACCAAAACAAUUGUAGAGGAGGAAAAGUUUAGUUGAGGGCUCACAGUUUCAGAGGUCUUAGUCCACUGAAGGCUGACUCCCUUCCUCAGGGCUCCAGGUGAAGCAGAAUAUCAUGGUGGAAGAGUGAGACAGAGGGAAGUAGCUCACAUAGUGAUCAAAAAGCAGAGAGAGACUCUACUUUUCAGAUACAAAAUAUAUACCCCAUAGUUACAAUCCAAUUCCCACCUCCUCCAUUCAUACCAUACCACUUCAGUUAACACUCAGUUAUCCUUAUCAAGGAAUUAAUUCACUAAUUAGGUUAAGGCUAUAUUAUAGCUCAAUCAUUUCUCCCCUAAACUUUCUUGCACUAUCUCAUAUGUGAGCUUUUGGGGGACACCACAUUAAACCAUAACAAGCAGUGACUAGGAAACCAGUAUAUUAUUAUCUCAGUUUGUUUUGUGAAUGAUUUUAUGACACUAUGCCUGUUACUUUACCCUGGCAGAAAUGUCUCUGAUAAUCAGGAGAGAAUUUUGGGCUUUCAUGCAUAAAAGACAAGCAGGAAUAGAUCUCAUCAAGCACACUUGGGAAUGGCUAAC